rnacentral:sRNA from 1 species
GGAUGUGAGGGAGAUCUGGCUGAGACAUCUGUCACCCCACUGAUCACCGGGCUUGAUUUGGCUGAUCUGGCUGGAUAGGCGGGUGUCCCCUUCCUCCCUCAAGGCUCCAUGUGCUUCCCUCACAAAGCUGCACACUCAGUCAAAGAGGACAACCACCCCCAAUAGAGGAGGACCUUUUCUUUUUCUUUUAUUUUAUUCUCUGGCUCUUUUUACCUCCCACAGAAAAACUGGUUAUGUAAGGUUUUAGAAAUAGCUAAGU